GACGAACGCUGGCGGCGUGCCUAACACAUGCAAGUUGAGCGAGGAGAGUUCCUUCGGGAACAAACCUAGCGGCGGACGGGUGAGUAACACGUGGGCAACCUGCCUUAUAGUGGGGAAUAGCCUCUCGAAAGGGAGAUUAAUACCGCAUAAUAUUACACUUUCGCAUGAGAGAGUAAUUAAAGGAGCAAUUCGCUAUAAGAUGGGCCCGCGGCGCAUUAGCUAGUUGGUGAGGUAACGGCUCACCAAGGCGACGAUGCGUAGCCGACCUGAGAGGGUGAUCGGCCACAGUUGGGACUGAGACACGGCCCAGACUCCUACGGGUGGCUG
rnacentral:rRNA from 1 species